GAAAUACAUAAGCCUGCUGCCAUUUUGAUGAAGAAGAGCAUUGUUCAGGCAAACCAUUGGAUGAAGUCUCUCCAUCGUUAACCUCCAAAAGACUCCAGACACUCUGUUAAGGACACCAAUCACAAGCCACUGUCAAACGAAUAUGCAAAAACAACUGGAGUUGGUUACAAGUGGUCAGAGGAGCAGAAGAAGUGGCCAAAUGAAAUUGAAGGUUCCUCUCCGAAUGCAAGCCCCC